rnacentral:snoRNA from 1 species
GAGACGUGAUGAGAUUCCUACUUCGGUCCGUGUUGCUGAUGCACCCUGAUAACAACGAAGUCCUGAUUCU